CACUGCUGAAAAGUGUUGAGAAUUAAAAUGACUCAAUGAAUACAAAGUGGUGUAACCUGAACUAUUGGUGUCUGAUUAAUAAAUGAAGAUAGGAAACUCAUACUUUGUGUUUUUACUCAGGUGUU